rnacentral:lncRNA from 1 species
UUGAGUAUCAAAACGAUAUAUAUAUAUUUUUUUAUUACAUGAGACUAUUGCUCAAAUUACAGUUCAAAUUACAACUCAUAUUACAUGAGAGUAUAAUUGAUAUGUACAAUCAUAUAUUUAUACUGAGCCCUGUUGACAUUAAUGCUGAUAUGACACUGCUCAGAUUUUUAACCCUCUCAAAAAUAUUCGAGGGACGUCAAACUCCCAUCCUGAGAGAAAGACUGCCUUCACUCGAGCUAUGUGGCUCCAAAGAAGCCUGAGAGAAAGACUGCCUUCACUCGAGCUCAAGGGCUCCAAGGAAAGAUAUUUAAAUUAAACCUCUACAAUGCGUCUGCGGAAGUUCGAACCCCUUCCCUCACAAAUGUGAGGGAGGGGCUCUAGCCACUUGGGCUAAGCCCAAAUGGUUAGUAUCAAAACGAUAUUGAGUCUUCUGUAUCAUCUGACUGAAAUACAUGAAAGCACACUUG